rnacentral:rRNA from 1 species
UACGAAGGGGCUAGCGUUGCUCGGAAUCACUGGGCGUAAAGGGUGCGUAGGCGGGUCUUUAAGUCAGGGGUGAAAUCCUGGAGCUCAACUCCAGAACUGCCUUUGAUACUGAGGAUCUUGAGUACGGGAGAGGUGAGUGGAACUGCGAGUGUAGAGGUGAAAUGCGUAGAUAUCGUAAGGAAGACCAGUGGCGAAGGCGGGU